GUGCCACGUGUCCCACGUCUCCCAGUGGGAGACGUUGGAUGUCCCCCUGGCCAUUUAAUGAAUUUUGGGUCUUCUUCUUCCUCAUAACACCAAACAGAGAGAGCACACCAAACAGAGAGCACGAAAGGGGUUGCGAUUUUAGGGUUUUCAAGGUUGUGAUUUUGGUGGUGAGAUUUUAGAGAGUACUUUGCAUCAAAACUUCUAUAUCUAUCAAUCACACAUUUGAGAUGGUUAGGUCACUAUUAUAGGGGAAAUGCUGCCCGAUAUUAUUUAGGAUAAUAAACGAUUAGUUGAGAACGGGCAUUACUUGAUUGAACAUGCAAGUCCCAGGCAUUACUUGAGAACGCUAACAAGCACAUCAUAUACAGAGGCACAAAUUGAUGAGUUGCGACAAGAAUGAGCGACAUAUAUGUUGCCGAUAAUCCAAAGUUACCGACCUCGUUGAUAGGUUUUUUUUUAAUUUUUUAACUCUUUCUUCAUACACAAUGCAAUAUUUGUUCAUUUUGAAUAUUUCUAACAAAUAUUGUAUUUCUUGUAUAUAUCUAACAAAUAUAUUUUUUUUAUUUCAAU